rnacentral:rRNA from 1 species
UACGUAGGUGGCAAGCGUUAUCCGGAAUGAUUGGGCGUAAAGGGUGCGCAGGCGGCGCAUUAAGUUUGAAGUAAAAGGUAGCGGCUCAACCGCUGCAAGCUUCGAAAACUGGUGUGCUGGAGUGCAGGAGAGGGCAGUGGAAUUCCAUGUGUAGCGGUAAAAUGCGUAGAUAUAUGGAGGAACACCGGUGGCGAAGGCGGCUGCCUGGCCUGUAACUGACGCUGAGGCACGAAAGCGUGGGGAGCAAA